GCCCCCGUCUCCCGUAGCGACCGCGACAGCUGGCGGCCCGGGGAGGCGGGGAGAUUUGUGCGGAGAAAGCCGUGGUUUACAGGAGGCCGUACCGUCAUUCCGAGGCGUUUCCUCCCGGGUUUCACGGCCCAGAAUGUCCCGAGGUGGAAGGGACCCACAAGGAUCACCGACUCCAACCCCUGGACCCACACAGGACCACCCAAAAUUCAAACCUUGUGUCUUCUAGCAAUGUCCAAACGCUCCUUGAACUCCAGCACUUUGCCGUACCCACUGCCCCGGGCAGCCUGUUCCAUGCCCACCGCCCUCUGGUCUGGUGAGGAGCCUUUCCCUAACUCCCAACCUGUCCGUCCCCAGACAGCUCCAUACCACAGAGACGAGAAAGUUCAUGAGACAAAGAGAGGGAGAAAUCUUACCAACUGCCAUCGUGAUCAAAGUAAACUUGACUGAGGGAAAACUUUAGAGCCCUUUCAUGUAAAAUAGAAGAUGUGUCUCCUGCUGUAGGAGCAGAAGAUAAGAGGAGAUGCUCUGGAAAAGCAGCAGGGAAGUGUUGCCUGAGCUCAGGGUGCCCAGGCCAGCAGAAAGGAGGAAGCAGACCCACAGGCCAGAAGUGGCUGCUAACACGGGGUGACAGAUGCCCUUUUGGUGGUAGCUGUACCGCCAAACCUUGUGCUCAGCAGGCUUGAGGCCUGCCCUGAGCUUUGGGUGCUACAGCCAUCUGCGUGCACCAGCGAUACUGACAGCACCACAAGUCCCUGCCAUCUUCUGGUAAGCAGGUUCCCCUUCUGUACAGCUGCUUAAAGAUCUGUAAUUGCUUUUAGACAGAAGAAAUAAUAGUAUUUGAUGCCUUUUUGUGAAAAGCUGGAACACCAUUUAAUUAAUCUACAUAAAAACUAAAACUAGAUUACCAGAAGGUUACUGCAAAAACUAAAACUAGAUUACCAGAAGGUUACUGCCUCACAUCAAUAGAUUUUCUGUCAUAAUGGAGGACUUCAUAUUCCCUGUGUGUAGAGACCACUUCACUGUGCUGAGAAGCAGCUGGCUCUGCAAUGGAAAGACCUCAUCACUGAUGUCAGUACCAUUUCAAAAGGUUUUUAAAUGCAAAAGAAGAAAAUAACUCCUGCGUUUGCCUUGCAUUUUGCUGUAAUGUAAGUUACAGAUGGGAUUUACCAUCCUAUCAUGACCAAUAUGCUUGUCUUGCAAAAUCACCAGUCCCACAAGAAAUCAGGGUUUUAUAUGGCUACAGCAGAUCGGGACAGGCCUUAGGUUUUAUCUCCAAACCUCCAGGCUGUUUCCUGACACCGAAGCACCAGAGUAUUUCUUCCAGACCAAUUUAAUAUGACUUAUGAGCACAUGACUUCUUCAGAAAUUGCAAAGGCCCGGCUCGGUUCUUCGUUCUCCAUUCAUACGCCAGAAGCAGAUGAUAAAUACACUGAAUAAUCUCCUACAGCGACUGUCACACAUUCUGAGAUCAUGCUGGGCCUUUUGCAGAUCUUCCAUUGCCAGAUACUCCUGCCAGAAGGAAUGCCAACAGAAUUUGGUCUGGACUUGAGACCAAGAUGGACAAAUAAUAUGGCUAAUUUUGCAAUAAAAUGUACUAGAGUCUAUUUCACACUGUUACUACUGAAUUUGGGCUAACUUCCUCCUUUUUGUUCAAGCAGUGUGCUUGAAAAGCAUUUUUUUUUCCAGCAUAUUCUUGCAUAUUGAAUUCAAUCCUGGUCAUUAGCAGCUUUGUUCCAUCACAGUACCAUUGGACAUCAAGGGUAUGUCCUUUUCAUAGCUGACUUCAGCAAAGAGUCUGGCAGCCAUGAUAUACAUCUCUAACACCGGGGUUAGUGAAUCAGGAGCAACAGCCCAGUGCAGCUGUGUCACAGCUCACUGUGAACUGACACACUGCAACAAGGACAAGCACAAACAGGAAAACCAAACAGUUCAUAUCUGCAAACUUUUUUUUGUUCCAAAAAGCCUCCUUGGUGUUCCCAACCUCAGAUAAUUUCCUGCUUAGAAGAGAAGUUGAAUGGAGGGUCCCUCUUUACAAGGAGCUAUGUGGAGAAGACAAGGAGCAUGAGAACUAUCAGACUUCCUCCAGAUGUGGCAGAGUCCCCAUGACUGUAGUUUUUUAAGGUGUGAUUGGACAGGGUGCUUGACAAUCACAUCUAGGUUUCCUAUUCCCACAAAAAGUUGGGCCUGGCAAUCUUUUGUGAUCCAUUGCAACCUGAAUUGUACCACUAUUCUGUGAGGUUAUCCUUUUUAGUGCCUAAGUAGCUUUUUAAUUGCAGGGCAGAGGUUCUAUUUGUGUAGGGAGGGAUGGCUGAAGCCUGGCGUACACACUGUCCUCAUAACUUGGAGGUGUGACAGACUACCAAAAGCAAUUGGUCAGAGGUAGCAAUGUGUUAAUUUGUUGUUGCAUAAUUCAUCAAAAUUUGUUUAUCUGAAGUCUUAUUUUAUGUUGUUGUACAGCCUAUUGAUGUUCUUCCAGGUCCAAGCAGUUAAUUUUACAGGGUGGCUUUAUCUAUGGUGCCAGCCUGCCACGCACAUUGUCUUUGUGGGUGAGAACAGUGGCUGGUUGAUGUUCCCAAGGAGACUGGUGAAAAGUGAGGUCUCCAACAGAAAUGGACAAGACAUCACUUAUUUGCAACCAUGGUGAAACCCUGGCAAAAUAUACUCAAAGGCUAUGACUGUGCUGGACUCUUCCUACACUUACUUUAGGGAAUUACACAGGAUCUGAAUCCCUGAACAAUCCCCACAUGCUGUAAGGGAUCAGGUCAACAUUCAUAGAACUUCAGCAGCAUCAUUUUAAUAUUCAAGCAUUGACUGUAAAAAACCUCCUGCUGUUAAAGUCAACAAAUAAAGGAUUACAUCUUUUUCUUUUUUGCCUUUUCUUCCCUUUCUGUCUGUCAGCAGAAUAUAUAAUAAAUAUUCCAGCCACUGUUAUUGAGAAUACUGCUACGUCACCGUAAGGCUCUGAGGAAUAAAUUAGUUAUACUGUUGAUAGCACAAAGUAGCAAGGGAUUCUGCAGAGACAACAGGUGGAAAAAAUAUAACAUUUAGUAUUAAUUGGCAGAGUUAAAAUUCUAAAGCUUGGUUGCAUAUUAGGAAGGUUUGUUGUAUUAAGUUUGGUUUUCAAAUAAUGUAAUUUACACCAAAGGAGCAAAGAAGUCCAUCACAGAAACUAAUACCUUAAAAUAGUCAAAAUGGGAAAAACUGGGGUGGCAUGAAAUGUAUGUUCUUGUGGAAAAUUGAUUCAGUCACCAGAGACAGGUACACAUUAGACUAAUCUGGCGUAGAGAGGCAUUCCUAAAAGUUCCAAUAGGUAGAAAAAUAGAGUUUAAUAUUCAAAGGUGAAAUCCCCAUUUCUGUGAGCCUACACAGGGAUAAUGCACACUCUGUGUAGCCUACAUACAGUUUAGGCUGACAGAUCUUGACUUAAAGGUCAGAAGAAGAGAAGCACGGUCAUGAUGCACAGCUGGCUGACGAGCAAGGGAAAAUGGAAGACGUCUGAGUUACUGCAAAUGGCGGACUCUCCUCAUUAACCUAUGGGCUGUUUUACAGAAUUUAUGCCUCUCCAUUACUAUGCAUUCAGAAGUCAUUCAAACUGUAGUAGCCUCUGUAAAAAUUUGUAAGUAAGACAGGCAUCAGGACAAGGCCAAAUCAAGAAAAGAAUGACCAGUCCAUUAAGGAUGGCUGUCUUGGGGACUUGUACUUUACUCCAUUUCAGAUGUAUUUCAGUGAGAUCUACGUCCCCAGCAAAACAGUCUACUGUUUGUCUCUGUUUUUAAUCAAAUGAGGAAAAACCUCUCGCUGCUGUGUGUCUUUGAGAAGUUGCAUGUUUUCAGUGCAUGUGAACUAUUUAAAAGCCCCUUUCUUUUGAAUAUUGCCGUACUCACUGGUGUUCUCCUCUACCAUAUAAACUAGAGCUGUGGGCAGCUUUCCUCAGCCCCAGGUCUUCUAGUUAGAUAGGCACGUCUCUCUGAGUUUGCCACCCAAAGCAACCUCCUUAUAAUAAAGCCAAAAGAGAAAAACUUUGGAAUGGCAAUUCAUAUCCUCAGGUAGGCACCUUUUUUUGGGUAGCCAAUCUGACCCAUCUCAACUGCUCGGAUUUUUUUUGUUGAAUAUGAAAGUAAACCUAGUGUGAGGAAUGCAGACCUAGACAUUGAAGCUUCAGCUGUCUAAAGCCGACCUUCUAAAAUUGUUUUAGGUGAAUCAUGCUUUUUAUGCAGAACUGUUUAUCAUCCGUUGUUUCUAGCAGUAUCCUAUAUGUUACAGGCACUAUACAUAAACAGAACUACAGUUGUCCGUGCCUGAAAGGGCUUGCAUCUGAAAAACAGCAAAUCACACACACACUAAAGAGGUGCUUGGCAUAGCAACAGAGCUUCAAACAGUUGGCGAAAUUAUAGUCACUUGUUAAUUAUGAAGGAUUUAUAGAGAUUAAUAUGCUGAGUAAAUAAGCUUGUCUCAUACCUUGAAACAAAUCCACUGAAAGUCUAAUUUAGGCAUAAGAAGAGUUUGAACAGUCUUGUAAGAUAAGGUGAACACAAUGUUAAUUUUCUGGAUUAAUUAAAUUGCUCUGUGAUCAAUUUGGUACAUCACCUAUUGAAGAAGAUCUUUAAAUUUUAAAGGAAUUUACUUUCAAGUUCCUCCCUCUAUUUCACAGCUAUUCACGCACCAAAGGACUAAACAACAUUGUAGAAAACAACAAGCAAGUAAUUAGAAUGUGUCAAGAAAACAGCCAGCUCUCACAAAUGAAAAAGAAGUGCACGAGAGAAAGGCUUUGAACCCUGGAAUGUGAGUGCAACCAAACUUAAACACAAACAAAACGAAAUGUGUAUUCCAUAAGGUGCAGCUGCAGUUGUUGAGGUGCCCAUGCACCUCUCCCUGGUGUGGAAGAGCACUGGCAUACCUUCUGCUGAAGGGCUGCUGGCGACUGCUGACUGCCUGCUCAGUGCGACUCAGGCUGCAGAAUGUGACAGAUGAGGAGAGAAGCCAUGGGAACCAGCCCAGCACCUCCACAGAAUAUCUGGGCUGUCCCAGUGCAUCCCACUGUCCUGCUGAGGCCAUACCAGCUACUCAGAUGAGGAGGAUGUCCUGUGCGAAAGCAUGGUUCUGUAAUCACAUAGACAAUUUCAGUUUUCUGCUGCCACGUUUGCUUCCCUUUAUCUUGGUA